GAAUCUUAGACAAUGGGGGAAACCCUGAUCUAGCCAUGCCGCGUGAUCGAUGACGGCCUUAGGGUUGUAAAGAUCUUUCAGCUGGGAAGAUAAUGACGGUACCAGCAGAAGAAGCCCCGGCUAACUCCGUGCCAGCCGCCGCGGUAAUACGGAGGGGGCUAGCGUUAUUCGGAUUUACUGGGCGUAAAGCGCACGUAGGCGGAUCAGAAAGUUAGGGGUGAAAUCCCGGGGCUCAACCUCGGAACUGCCUCUAAAACUCCUGGUCUUGAGGUCGAGAGAGGUGAGUGGAAUUCCGAGUGUAGAGGUGAAAUUCGUAGAUAUUCGGAGGAACACCAGUGGCGAAGGCAACCCCCUGGGCCUGUACUGACGCUCAUGCACGAAAGCGUGGGGAGCAAACA
rnacentral:rRNA from 1 species